rnacentral:rRNA from 1 species
CGUGAGAAUUUGCCUUUAGGAGGGGGAUAACAAUUGGAAACGACUGCUAGUACNCCAUAUGCUUUCGAGUGAAAUGAAUUAUUUCGCCUAGAGAGAAGCUCGCGGCUGAUUAGCUUGUUGGUAGGGUAAGUGCCUACCAAGGCGACGAUCAGUAUCUGGUUUGAGAGGACGAUCAGACACACUGGAACUGAGACACGGUCCAGACUCCUACGGGGGGCAGCAGUGGGGAAUUUUCCGCAAUGGGCGAAAGCCUGACGGAGCAAUACCGCGUGAGGGAAGAAUGCCUAUGGGUUGUAAACCUCUUUUUUCAGGGAGGAAUAAAAAUGACGUGUACCUGAAGAAUAAGCAUCGGCUAACUCCGUGCCAGCAGCCGCGGGUAAGACGGAGGAUGCAAGUGUUAUCCGGAAUCACUGGGCGUAAAGCGUCUGUAGGUGGUUUAAUAAGUCAA